AACAAAAACAGACUUGAUUGUUCAUAUCACGGAAAAAGAAAAGCAUAGUAACGAAUUGGUCGUCGCGGUGAAUGUACGAAUGUACGGUAAAAAAACAACAACAAAAACGUUCAACGAUUGUUUGUUGCGGGUACGGGAGUAAUAUUGUUCUCUCGCUCUAACCCAUUGAAUUGAAUAAAGUUUAACGGGAGAUAAAGGUGCUGCUGAAAGAAGCCAACAGAAUGGUUGAUUUUUAAAAGAAAAGAAAAA
rnacentral:sRNA from 1 species